rnacentral:rRNA from 1 species
UACGGAGGGGGCAAGCGUUGUUCGGAAUUACUGGGCGUAAAGGGCGCGUAGGCGGCUCGGCAAGUCAGGUGUGAAAGCCCCGAGCUUAACUCGGGAAUUGCAUCUGAAACUGGUGUGCUUGAGUUCUGGAGGGGGUAGUGGAAUUCCCAGUGUAGCGGUGAAAUGCGUAGAUAUUGGGAGGAACACCGGCGGCGAAGGCGGCUACCUGGACAGAAACUGACGCUGAGGCGCGAAAGCUAGGGGAGCGAACGGG